UACAGAGGGUGCGAGCGUUAAUCGGAAUUACUGGGCGUAAAGGGCUCGUAGGCGGCCAACUAAGUCAGACGUGAAAUCCCUCGGCUUAACCGGGGAACUGCGUCUGAUACUGGAUGGCUUGAGGUUGGGAGAGGGAUGCGGAAUUCCAGGUGUAGCGGUGAAAUGCGUAGAUAUCUGGAGGAACACCGGUGGCGAAGGCGGCAUCCUGGACCAAUUCUGACGCUGAGUGAGCGAAAGCCAGGGGAGCAAACGGG
rnacentral:rRNA from 1 species